UACGGGGGGGGCAAGCGUUGUUCGGAAUUACUGGGCGUAAAGGGCUCGUAGGCGGCCAACUAAGUCGGAUGUGAAAUCCCCAGGCUCAACCUGGGAACUGCGUCUGAUACUGGAUGGCUUGAAUCCGGGAGAGGGAUGCAGAAUUCCAGGUGUAGCGGUGAAAUGCGUAGAUAUCUGGAGGAAUACCGGUGGCGAAGGCGGCAUCCUGGACCAUUACUGACGCUGAGGCGCGAAAGCUAGGGGAGCAAACGGG
rnacentral:rRNA from 1 species